rnacentral:rRNA from 1 species
AUUGAACGCUGGCGGCAGGCCUAACACAUGCAAGUCGAGCUAGCGGCGGACGGGUGAGCAAUGUCUGGGAAACUGCCUGAUGGAGGGGGAUAACUACUGGAAACGGUAGCUAAUCCCGCAUACCAUCAGAUGUGCACAGCUGGGAUUAGCUAGUAGGUUGGGUACCGGCUCACCUGGUCGACGAUCCCUAGAUGUUCUGAGAGGAUGACCAGCCACACUGGAACGGAGACACGGUCCAGCCGCCUACGAGAGGCAGCAGAGGGGAAUAGUGCACAAUGGGCACAAGCCUGAUGCAGCCAUGCCGCGUGUGUGAAGAAGACCUUCGGGUUGUAAAGCACUUUCAGCGGGGAGGCGUUACCCGCCGAAGAAGCACCGGCUAACUCCGUGCCAGCAGCCGCGGUAAUUC